rnacentral:rRNA from 1 species
AGAUUGAACGCUGGCGGCAGGCCUAACACAUGCAAGUCGAGCGGCAGCACGGGUACUUGUACCUGGUGGCGAGCGGCGGACGGGUGAGUAAUGCCUAGGAAUCUGCCUGGUAGUGGGGGAUAACGCUCGGAAACGGACGCUAAUACCGCAUACGUCCUACGGGAGAAAGCAGGGGACCUUCGGGCCUUGCGCUAUCAGAUGAGCCUAGGUCGGAUUAGCUAGUUGGUGGGGUAAUGGCUCACCAAGGCGACGAUCCGUAACUGGUCUGAGAGGAUGAUCAGUCACACGUGGAACUGAGACACGGUCCAGACUCCGUACGGGAGGCAGCAGGUGGGAAUAUUGGACAAGUGGGACGAAAGCCUGACUCCAGCAGUCGCCGCGUGUGUAGAAGAGGUCCGUUAGGUGUAAA